GGCCUGAUAGCUUAGUUGGUUAGAGCAUCUGGUAUGAUAUUUCCAGGAGGUCCUGGGUUCAAUCCCCAGUCUGGCCA